rnacentral:rRNA from 1 species
UACGUAGGGGGCGAGCGUUGUCCGGAGUUACUGGGCGUAAAGGGUGCGUAGGCGGUUUGGUAAGUCUCGUGUGAAAUCUACAGGCUCAACUUGUAGUCUGCACGAGAAACUGCCGGGCUUGAGUAUGGGAGAGGUGAGUGGAAUUCCUGGUGUAGCGGUGAAAUGCGUAGAUAUCAGGAGGAAUACCUGUGGCGAAAGCGGCUCACUGGACCAUAACUGACGCUGAUGCACGAAAGCUAGGGGAGCAAACAGG